rnacentral:rRNA from 1 species
UACGUAGGGUGCAAGCGUUAAUCGGAAUUACUGGGCGUAAAGCGUGCGCAGGCGGUGAUGUAAGACAGUUGUGAAAUCCCCGGGCUCAACCUGGGAACUGCAUCUGGGACUGCAUCGCUGGAGUACGGCAGAGGGGGAUGGAAUUCCGCGUGUAGCAGUGAAAUGCGUAGAUAUGCGGAGGAACACCGAUGGCGAAGGCAAUCCCCUGGGCCUGUACUGACGCUCAUGCACGAAAGCGUGGGGAGCAAACAGG